AUGAUAUGGACCCUGGUGUAUACAGCCCCUCAAACCUUUCAGAUUAGUUCCCUUCCUUUUCCAGUGGACAGCUCUGAGUCUUCGGGAGAGAGCUUGAGCGGCUUCAGCAGCUCUGCCUCCUCUGUGUGCGCCUCCAUCGUCAGCCUGAAGGAGCCUCUAGCCCGUAGACCUGAAGACAACGACCUCCACAAGGCUAAGAGUCCCAUCUGGUCUACAGUAAAAACCACCUCACCCUUGCUCCCACCCAAACCACCUGGCCUGACUAAGGAUCCUCCCAAGGUUCAAAAUUCGGUCAUUGGGAAGUCAACUGAGGUUUGAGCUCUGAGUUUGGUAAGUUUGUCUGUAACGAUGACAUCACUCUGCACCAUCUACAGUUGGCCUGUAUAUGUGUCUGGCUAUUUUCUAAUAUGAUUUUAUGUAUGUUUGUGUUGCAUGUAACUAUUUUACACAUGGAUGUUAUUUGUUUUCAGUCAUUUUCCAUAGGUUAUCAAAUUCAAUCUUAUUCGUGUAUCUUUUUUCACAGAUUUGGAAGUAUCCAGAACAGAAGGAAAGCAUGAACUGUGUUACUGUAUAUAGAGGAGUGUUAUAUGACUCUGUUAUAUGACAGUUACUGCACACUACUUGUACCAUUCUGUUUUUUUUGUUCUGUUUUUAUUUAACCUUUAUUUAACUAGGCAGGUCAGUUAAGAACAAAUUCUUAUUUACAUUGCUUUACAAGGAUUUUAUCAUUUCCCAUUAACAGGAAGUUUUGUAUUUUGUAAAAAAAAGUUUUAAAAAAAUAAGCAUUUCUGUCAUAUUCUGUUUGUUUCUGAUGUCAAGACUUUCACCCAUGAUCAUGUUAUUGUGUGCCUUAUUGGACCAUUCAAUAUGUAGUAAAUACUCUUAACACAGAAAACCUGUGUUGGUGUGCAUUACUUAGUACUUAUGCUAUGUUUCCAUGAAAAUGUAUUUUUAAAUCUUUGAGGACCAGAAUGUCUGGAUUACCAAAGUGUUUUAGUAUGUAAGGGUUUGUCACGAAUAUUACCGAAGGUGACUCCCCUUCUUGUUCGGGUGGCGCUCGGCAGUCGUCGUCACCGGUCUACUAGCUAUCGCCGAUCCGUUGUUCUGUGUUCCUUUGGUUUUGUCUGAUUGGUAUCACCUGUUUCUUGUUUGGUUGUUAGGGUAGGGUUAUAUAUAGUUUGUUCAGCCYGCUUCUGUUUCGUGCRGGCUUKUUAGUCUGUUUUGUUGUUUGAGUGUAUUUUGUUUGUAUUUGGGUUUCACGCUGUCCGUUUAUAUUUCUGAUCAUUUGUUUUUCUACUUUUGGUUCAUUUUAUGUUUCCGGGACAUUAAAGCGUGUUUUUUCCCACAUCUUUUGCUCUCUGCGCCUGACUCCACACCUCCUCACUCAUUUAUUCGUA
ensembl:lncRNA